rnacentral:rRNA from 1 species
UACGUAGGAGGCGAGCGUUGUCCGGAAUUAUUGGGCGUAAAGAGCUCGUAGGCGGCCUGUUGCGUCCGCUGUGAAAGCCCGGGGCUUAACCCCGGGUCUGCAGUGGAUACGGGCAGGCUAGAGGUAGGUAGGGGAGAAUGGAAUUCCCGGUGUAGCGGUGAAAUGCGCAGAUAUCGGGAGGAACACCGGUGGCGAAGGCGGUUCUCUGGGCCUUACCUGACGCUGAGGAGCGAAAGCGUGGGGAGCGAACAGG